ensembl:lncRNA
AAAUGUAAAUGACAGGAAACAUUUAAGUGGAUUCAAGAAGAACAUGAUAUUGUUUGACAUCACAAUGACUCACUGACAAAUAAGCUGCACAGAGAGAAAUUCAAUAAAGGUUCAGAAGGUCAGAGGGUCACAAGAGUUUACAACUCAUGCAGGUACAGGGGACGUAAGUGUUGACCAGUCUUGAAGGUGGCGAAAGGGACUCUGCAGAUGUGAUUAAGUAAAAGAUCUUGAAGUGGGAAGAUUAUCCCGGAUUAUCCAGGUGAAUAAAACCAACACAUGGAGGAAAUUUGCAUCAAAGCAGAAUAACUAAGAAGAGAGAAAGCAUGUUGCACUCUUUAUUGAGGACAAAGGAAAAGGAAACAAAGAGAAGAAAGAAACAAGCAUGAUAGAAGGUGAUGCUAGUAACAGCUAUGAUAAAAGAAGAAAGAAGAUAUUUGGAAAAGGAAAAAGAUAUGGCUGCCUCUGCUGCUGGAGUUAGAGGAAAGCAACUGUGCUCUGGUGUCUGAGUCCAGUGGAAUGUUCUGUUCAUCCCCAGAAUUCGACGUGAAGUGGGUUACGUAGAGAUAUGCCAGAGCCUCCUCCCUCCCCUGCCUCGUUGUGCCUGUUUAAGUCUCUUUUUCAACUGAGGACCCAAGAAAACAAGUGCCAACCAUUGCAGCAUAACAAAGGAGGUCUUAGAUCAUGUAUCAGGACUGAAAAAGAGAUGCCAAACCAGUUUUGUCAACUUUACCUAAGAUGUAUCUUCAAGUUAUACAAGCAAAGAUUAAGAAUUUGGCCAAAAAAUUGAAGAACUGUGCCAUGUACAUCUCCAGUCCUUCUGCUGCACCGCCCCCCCCAUGGGAGAGGGAAGCAUAGAGCGUCCCCUGGAAGAACUUCUUUGGGAUCCCUCAGAGAACUUAAUACGUGUCUCCUGGAACUUAAGGAAUAUAGUGGAGUGGUGCCUUACUCAAGUUUCAGGAAGCCGAAGUGGAAGAAGCUGUGUAAAGUGACAAUGCCAGCAGGAUAGGGGCUACAGCUGAGAGUUAACUGCAAUCACUCAGAAAGCCACAGGUCCCUAGAGAGGCAAGGACUCUUCACCACAAAGAGGCCACGGGAAGAGGAGGAAAAUGGAAGGGCCCCGCUGGUGCAGAGGCUUUUGCUCGUGUCAAGAAAAUUACAGAGGAGAGAUUCUCGGUGAUGCGGGAAUCUCCAAGUGCCUAUGGGAGAGGCCAUUUAAAAAAUGCGCCACAAGCAGCAAAACCACCCCCAGCUGAAAGACUGUCUGGUCUGACCCCAAGCUUGGAGAGGCUGAAGCUGGAACUAACAAGUAAGAGGUAGAAACUGGCAGAACAAAGAAAGAAAAACUGAUUGUAUGCCCCUUUUCCAGUGCCAACAGGAGCUUGUGACAGGCUGAGAUGGGAUGGCGAAGGAGGAGCAAAAUUUGAACUGAAUUUGGAAUUUUGUCAAAUUAAUUAAAUAAGUGAAAGUCCUUUGAGGACUAAAGAGACAGGAGGUCUUCUAAAGAUUAUCUAAUAGUAAAGUAACUACCAAUCAUUUAGUACAAGGAAGGGGGAAACCAACAUAAGCAGCCAGUUUACAGGAGAAGACGUGAGAAAAAUUAAAAUUGUUUUAAAAUUGCCUCCUAUGAAUUAUUUUCUUAAUGUUCAUGGUACAUAUUCAGGAUACACAGAUUACAAAAUCAUUAAAUGUAUACAUCCACAUUAAUGUGAG